GACGAACGCGGCGGCGUGCUUAACACAUGCAAGUCGAACGCUGAAGCCUAGCUUGCUGGGUGGAUGAGUGGCGAACGGGUGAGUAACACGUGAGUAACCUGCCCUCUUCUUUGGGAUAACGCCCGGAAACGGGUGCUAAUACUGGAUAUUCACUGGCCUUCGCAUGGGGGUUGGUGGAAAGGUUUUUUCUGGUGGGGGAUGGGCUCGCGGCCUAUCAGCUUGUUGGUGGGGUGAUGGCCUACCAAGGCUUUGACGGGUAGCCGGCCUGAGAGGGUGACCGGUCACAUUGGGAUUGAGAUGCGGCCCAGACUCCUACGGGAGGCAGCAGUGGGGAAUAUUGCACAAUGGGCGAAAGCCUGAUGCAGCGACGCCGCGUGAGGGAUGGAGGCCUUCGGGUUGUAAACCUCUUUCGCUCAUGGUCAAGCCGCAACACUUGGUUGUGGUGAGGGUAGUGGGUAAAGAAGCGCCGGCUAACUACGUGCCAGCAGCCGCGGUAAUACGUAGGGCGCGAGCGUUGUCCGGAAUUAUUGGGCGUAAAGGGCUUGUAGGCGGUUGGUCGCGUCUGCCGUGAAAUCCUCUGGCUUAACUGGGGGCGUGCGGUGGGUACGGGCUGACUUGAGUGCGGUAGGGGAGACUGGAACUCCUGGUGUAGCGGUGGAAUGCGCAGAUAUCAGGAAGAACACCGGUGGCGAAGGCGGGUCUCUGGGCCGUUACUGACGCUGAGGAGCGAAAGCGUGGGGAGCGAACAGG
rnacentral:rRNA from 1 species